CAUAAUGACAAAACUUUCGAGCGGUCGCCAUUUAAUUCCUCGGUUAAGGCGACUAAAAACUUGAACAUAGCUCGUUUUGACAGCUUUCAGAACUGACAGUUUGCUCAUAGUUGACUUAUGGAAACAGGACAAUGUGCUUUUGAUAUAUGAGGAUACUGUUCAGACAGUGAGGGCACCUCUGGACUCUGCAUGAUGGGAAACUGUUGACAAAGAAGCCAAGAUUCAUUACAAGUUCAAGACCAGCAAAGGCAAUGCUUCUUUAACCAGGGACAAGAACUCAUCAGGAGGAUUUGAACCUUUUCAUGGAAGCACCAUUUGUAAAUCUCUUGAGUAAUGUUGGUUCUAAACCAAUGGUUGAAAACACCUGUUUUGAUCAGUACACUACUCACAAAAGAUUUUCACCUUGCACACAAAUCACCUGAAGAAGCUAUCAGAAGGAACAUCAGCCACCAAUGCUAUUGAUGUUUGAAUUCAAUUGUAUGACACAAUAGUAAACUUUAAAAAAAAAGAUUUCCAUCCUCGCAGCAAACAUCAACACUAAACAACUUUUUAGUCUUGGUACUGCUUCAAAAAAGUGCUAGAAAAACACAAGUGACAGUUUUUUGAUAAAUGUUCAUUAGUUUCAAUUUAGAGAAAACUCAUGACGUUCAACAACAACAGUUUUGCCAAACUUAUUUGGACUCACUCAUUGACAAAUCAAAGCAGCAAAACCACAUAAAUCACACAAGGCUACUUGUCAGGAGUUUUAUCUUUGUAACUUUCUACUUUAAUAUUUUGUAUUGAACAUUAUUGUGUUUGCUUAUAAGAAAAAAUGUUAACCACUGAAGCAAAUUGUAAAUAAAACAUUGUUUAUUCAUUGGAAA